rnacentral:rRNA from 1 species
AAUAUUGGACAAUGGGGGGAACCCUGAUCCAGCCAUGCCGCGUGUGUGAAGAAGGUCUUCGGAUUGUAAAGCACUUUAAGUUGGGUGGAAGAGUUGUAGGCUAAUACUUUGCAUUUUUGACGUUACCCACAGAAUAAGCACCGGCUCACUUCGUGCCAUCAGCCGCGGUAAUACGAAGGGUGCAAGCGUUAAUCGGAAUUACUGGGCGUAAAGCGCGCGUAGGUGGUUCGUCAAGUUGGAAGUGAAAGCCCCGGGCGCAACCUGGGAAUUGCUUUCAAAACUGACGAGCUAGAGUACGGUAGAGGGUGGUGGAAUUUCCUGUGUAGCGGUGAAAUGCGUAGAUAUAGGAAGGAACACCAGUGGCGAAGGCGACCACCUGGGCUAAUACUGACACUGAGGUGCGAAAGCGUGGGGAGCAAACAGG